UACAGCGGGGCAUGGUUAUGUGGCAGAGUUCGCGGCAGGAGUGUUUUAUGUCACUUUGUAUUAGAUAAUGAGCAUAUCCAUCCAGAUUCCUAAAUACAAUCCAAACUGGUGCAGAAGAAGCCUUAAGGAGCUGGAGAGAAUAAAUCGAAGAGCUAGAUAUGAAGUUCAGAAAGUUUAAUAGAAGAGAUGGAGACAGUAAUGCCUUAAAAGACUGGAUGCCGGAAAACAUGGAAUUCUUUUCCUCUGAUGACUAAUUUAAAAUACAAAAUGAGCUACUUCUUUCUUCAGGGAAACAUUAUAAACUCGAAUACUUCCCCUCGAAACCCAGCCACCAUGUUGGGAAGAAGCCCAGGCCACAUGGAAAGGCCACGUGUGGUGACCGACUGUCAAGCACUAGACAUGUGAACAAAUGAACCUUCGGAUAAUUCCAGCCCCCAGCCUCUGAGCCUUCCCGUGGGGCCCCCAGUCAUUAAGAAGCCAUUUCUCCUAUGCUAUGCCUAAAAUUUGGACUCAUCAAAAUUGUAAAAGAUAAUACAUGAUUAUUUUUACUUUAA